rnacentral:rRNA from 1 species
CACGUAGGGGGCAAGCGUUGUCCGGAAUCAUUGGGCGUAAAGAGCUCGUAGGCGGUGUGUCGCGUCGGCCGUGAAAACCUGCAGCUUAACUGUGGGCUUGCGGUCGAUACGGGCAUCACUGGAGUUCGGCAGGGGAGACUGGAAUUCCUGGUGUAGCGGUGAAAUGCGCAGAUAUCAGGAGGAACACCGGUGGCGAAGGCGGGUCUCUGGGCCGAUACUGACGCUGAGGAGCGAAAGCGUGGGGAGCGAACAGG